ACAGAUCGUUCAGUAGUUUGAUCCUGGCUCAGGACGAACGCUGGCGGCGUGCCUAACACAUGCAAGUCGAACGGAGUGUUGCGCUGAUUUGAUAGCAGCUUGCUGCAGGAUUUUCUUGUAACACUUAGUGGCGGACGGGUGAGUAACGCGUGAGCAACCUGCCUUACAGAGGGGGACAACAGUUGGAAACGACUGCUAAUACCGCAUAACGUAGCGAGGGGACAUCCCCAUGCUACCAAAGGAGCAAUCCGCUGUAAGAUGGGCUCGCGUCCGAUUAGAUAGUUGGUGAGGUAACGGCUCACCAAGUCGACGAUCGGUAGCCGGACUGAGAGGUUGAACGGCCACAUUGGGACUGAGACACGGCCCAG
rnacentral:rRNA from 1 species